AGCCUCAUUCAUAUGAGAAUGGUCACAGUUGAUCAUGAUUUCCAGAACUGCUAAGAUGGCUAAAUUGAGAACAGGUUGUGCUUCCAUCACAGUACAUUUAUUGCAGUGGUGACACUGAGACUUGCAACUUUU
rnacentral:snoRNA from 1 species